AAGGCUACCAGGCGACGACGGGUAGCCGGCCUGAGAGGGCGACGGCACACUGGGACUGAGACACGGCCCAGACUCCUACGGGAGGCAGCAGUGGGGAAUAUUGCACAAUGGGCGAAAGCCUGAUGCAGCGACGCCGCGUGAGGGAUGACGGCCUUCGGGUUGUAAACCUCUUUCAGCAGGGAAGAAGCGAAAGUGACGGUACCUGCAGAAGAAGCGCCGGCUAACUACGUGCCAGCAGCCGCGGCGGA
rnacentral:rRNA from 1 species